UGGGGAAUUUUGGACAAUGGGCGCAAGCCUGAUCCAGCCAUGCCGCGUGCGGGAAGAAGGCCUUCGGGUUGUAAACCGCUUUUGUCAGGGAAGAAAUCUUCUGAGUUAAUACCUCGGGAGGAUGACGGUACCUGAAGAAUAAGCACCGGCUAACUACGUGCCAGCAGCCGCGGUAAUACGUAGGGUGCAAGCGUUAAUCGGAAUUACUGGGCGUAAAGCGUGCGCAGGCGGUUUUGUAAGACAGAGGUGAAAUCCCCGGGCUCAACCUGGGAACUGCCUUUGUGACUGCAAGGCUUGAGUGCGGCAGAGGGGGAUGGAAUUCCGCGUGUAGCAGUGAAAUGCGUAGAUAUGCGGAGGAACACCGAUGGCGAAGGCAAUCCCCUGGGCCUGCACUGACGCUCAUGCACGAAAGCGUGGGGAGCAAACAGGAUUAGAUACCCUGGUAGUCCACGCCCUAAACGAUGUCAACUGGUUGUUGGGAAGGUUCCUUCUCAGUAACGUAGCUAACGCGUGAAGUUGACCGCCUGGGGAGUACGGCCGCAAGGUUGAAACUCAAAU
rnacentral:rRNA from 1 species